CAUCAGCAGUCCCAUGCAGCCAAGGAUGCAAUCGAAGAAGCCUCAUCCUUUGAAAUAAAAGCUGCAGCAAACAGCCUCCUAUAUGGGAAAACUCCACAGAAUGGCCAUUGCUGAUCUAAAUAAUCCUACUGGAUUUAAGAGUCUGGACCAGAUCCAAUUCUACCCAUUAGACAUGUAACGUUACUUGAUGGAAAGUGUCAACCCAUGUGACAGUUCACAAGGCAAACCAUCAAAAGGGAGAAGAAGUGCCCUGGGAACUUGCUCUGCCAGUACUGUCAG